AUUCUGACCACGUGAUCAUCAAAGAUGGCGAACUGUUGACAGCAAAAUAAGUUUUCCGUCUAGAAACGUUGGUAAUCAGGGAGAAUUGAUUUUUUCUGCAACAAUCCCGCGAAGAAACUGCCUGGCUUGAUUAUCAGGAAUUGGGUCUAUUUUUAGACUCUGUGGACUGGUUUAAAGGCAGUAAAUCAGAUUUGAGGCUAUAUAUAGAAGUAGACUGGUUUGGAGACUUGUGGGUGAUUCAAGACUGGUGCAAAUGUGAUGAUUUCUGACUCAGAGACUAGUUUAAAGUUCAGGACCCCCUUGAUGGAACCAUUAAUUUAAUAUAGACAGAUUUGAAAUUUGUCAUCAUGUCUUCAAACAAUUACUAUGGGGUACCUAGGAAGCUGGACUACAAAGGCAGUGUGGAUUCUGGUUUUCAGGAACCUAUAGGUAAAAAUAAAGUCUGUUUUUAUAUACCCCACCAAAUGAGC